rnacentral:rRNA from 1 species
AUUGAACGCUAGCGGGAUGCUUUACACAUGCAAGUCGAACGGAGUGGCGGACGGGUGAGUAAUAUAUCGGAACGUGCCCAGUAGCGGGGGAUAACUACUGGAAAGAGUGGCUAAUACCGAAUACAAUCGGAGAGGCCGAUAUGUGAUUAGAUAGUUGGUGGGGUAAAGGCUCACAAAGGCAAGGAUCCGUAGCUGGUUUGAGAGGACGACCAGCCACACUGGGACUGAGACACGGCCCAGACUCCUACGGGAGGCAGCAGUGGGGAAUUUUGGACAAUGGGGGAAACCCUGAUCCAGCCAUCCCGCGUGUAUGAAGAAGGCCUGCGGGUUGUAAAGUACUUUCAGUCGGGAGGCGUUACCGACAGAAGAAGCACCGGCUAACUCCGUGCCAGCAGCCGCGGUAAUUC